CCUACGGGGCGCAGCAGUGAGGAAUAUUGGUCAAUGGACGAGAGUCUGAACCAGCCAAGUAGCGUGAAGGAUGACUGCCCUAUGGGUUGUAAACUUCUUUUAUAUGGGAAUAAAAUGUUCCCCGUGUGGGAUUUUGUAUGUACCAUAUGAAUAAGGAUCGGCUAACUCCGUGCCAGCAGCCGCGGUAAUACGGAGGAUCCGAGCGUUAUCCGGAUUGAUUGGGUUUAAAGGGAGCGUAGGUGGAUUGUUAAGUCAGUUGUGAAAGUUUGCGGCUCAACCGUAAAAUUGCAGUUGAAACUGGCAGUCUUGAGUACAGUAGAGGUGGGCGGAAUUCGUGGUGUAGCGGUGAAAUGCUUAGAUAUCACGAAGAACUCCGAUUGCGAAGGCAGCUCACUGGACUGCAACUGACACUGAGGCUCGAAAGUGUGGGUAUCAAACAGGAUUAGAUACCCGAGUAGUC
rnacentral:rRNA from 1 species